rnacentral:rRNA from 1 species
UUAAAGGAAUUGACGGGACCCGCACAAGCGGUGGAUGAUGUGGUUUAAUUCGAUGCAACGCGAAAACCUUACCCACCUUUGACAUGUUGGGAACUUUCCAGAGAUGGAUUGGUGCCUUCGGGAACCCAAACACAGGUGCUGCAUGGCCGUCGUCAGCUCGUGUCGUGAGAUGUUGGGUUAAGUCCCGUAACGAGCGCAACCCUUAUCCCUAGUUGCCAGCACAUUAUGGUGGGAACUCUAGGGAGACUGCCGGUGACAAACCGGAGGAAGGUGGGGAUGACGUCAAGUCCUCAUGGCCCUUAUGGGUAGGGCUUCACACGUCAUACAAUGGUCGGUACAGAGGGUUGCCAAGCCGCGAGGUGGAGCCAAUCCCUUAAAGCCGGCCUCAGUUCAGAUUGUAGGUUGCAACUCGCCUGCAUGAAGAUGGAGUUGCUAGUAACCGCAGGUCAGCAAUACUGCGGUGAAUACGUUCCCGGGUCUU